rnacentral:rRNA from 1 species
UACAGAGGUCUCAACCGUUGUUCGGAUUCAUUGGGCGUAAAGGGUGCGUAGGCGGUCGUGCAAGUCGGAUGUGAAGUCUCAGGGCUCAACCCUGAAACUGCAUUCGAUACUGCGCGGCUAGAGUCCGGAAGAGGAGAGUGGAAUUCCUGGUGUAGCGGUGAAAUGCGUAGAUAUCGGGAGGAACACCAGUGGCGAAGGCGACUACCUGGCCUGUUCUUGACGCUGAGGCGCGAAAGCUAGGGGAGCAAACGGG